GACGAACGCUGGCGGCGUGCUUAACACAUGCAAGUCGAGCGAUGAAACUUUAACAGUACUCUUCGGGGCGAAGAUAAAGUGGAUUAGCGGCCGACGGGUGAGUCACCCGUGAGUAAUCUGCCUUCGACAUUGGGAUAGCCUCGGGAACCCGGGAUUUAUUCCACAUCAAAUCAUAAUGACACAUGUCAUAACGAUUAUAACUUCGGUUGUCUAACAUGCACGCUCGUCUCUUUAGCUAGUUAGGAGGGUAAAAGCCUACCAAGGCGACGAUGGGUAGCCGGCCAGAGAGGGUGAGCGGCAACACUGGAACUAGGCAGCGGUCCAAACUCCUACGGGAUGCAGCAAGGGGGAAUAGUGCAAAAUGGAGUGAACUCUGAUGGAGCGACGCCGCGAGAACUAUGAAAGCUUUCGAGUCGUAAAGUUCUUGUAAAUAGGAAGAUAAUGACGGUACCAAAAGAAAAAGCCCCGGCUAACUACGUG
rnacentral:rRNA from 1 species